rnacentral:rRNA from 1 species
UACGAAGGGGGCUAGCGUUGUUCGGAAUUACUGGGCGUAAAGGGCGCGUAGGCGGCGUGUCAAGUCAGGCGUGAAAGCCCCGGGCUCAACCUGGGAACCGCGCUUGAGACUGGCAUGCUCGAGUUCGGGAGAGGAUGGUGGAAUUCCCAGUGUAGCGGUGAAAUGCGUAGAUAUCGGGAGGAACAUCAGUGGCGAAGGCGGCUACCUGGCCCAAUACUGACACUCAGGUGCGACAGCGUGGGGAGCAAACAGG